GCAAGUCUGGUGCCAGCAGCCGCGGUAAUUCCAGCUCCAAUAGCGUAUAUUAAAGUUGUUGCAGUUAAAAAGCUCGUAGUUGAACCUUGGGUCUGGCUGGCCGGUCCGCCUCACCGCGUGUACUGGUCCGGCCAGACCUUUCCUUCUGGGGAAUCGCAUGCCCUUCACUGGGUGUGUCGAGGAUCCAGGACUUUUACUUUGAAAAAAUUAGAGUGUUCAAAGCAGGCCUAUGCUCGAAUACAUUAGCAUGGAAUAAUAGAAUAGGAUGUGUGGUUCUAUUUUGUUGGUUUCUAGGACCGCCGUAAUGAUUAAUAGGGAUAGUCGGGGGCAUCAGUAUUCAAUCGCCAGAGGUGAAAUUCUUGGAUCGAUUGAAGACUAACUACUGCGAAAGCAUUUGCCAA
rnacentral:rRNA from 1 species